rnacentral:rRNA from 1 species
GCCUUCAUGAAGCCGGAAUUGCUAGUAAUGGCAGGUCAGCAUACUGCCGUGAAUACGUUCCCGGGCCUUGUACACACCGCCCGUCACACCAUGAGAGUUGGGGAUACCCGAAGCCUGUGAGCUAACAUUAUGAGGCAGCAGUCGAAGGUAGAAUCAAUGAUUGGGGUGAAGUCGUAACAAGGUACC